rnacentral:tRNA from 1 species
AGCGGGAUAGAGCAGUCCGGUAGCUCGUCGGGCUCAUAACCCGGAGGUCGGCGGUUCAAAUCCGCCUCCCGCAACCA